rnacentral:rRNA from 1 species
AGGGAUUCCCUCAGUAAGGGCGACUGAAAUGGGAAGAGCCCAGCGCAUAAGCUCGUCUUGCUCUUCACCGGGCACGAGCGGUGUUGCGUUUCGGAGGGUCCGGCACGCCGCCUUACGACGCCUAAGUCAUGCUUGAAAGCGGCCACUACCCAUGGAGGGUGAAAGGCCCGUCUGGCGGAGCCCGUGAGGGCAUAAGUGAGGCGGUCGGAAAGGACCUUUCCGUAGAGUCGGGUUGCUUGAGAGUGCAGCCCAAAGCAGGUGGUAAACUCCAUCUAAGGCUAAAUAUGACCAAGAGA